rnacentral:rRNA from 1 species
GAAUUCGCCCUUAGAGUUUGAUCCUGGCUCAGGACGAACGCUGGCAGCGUGCUUAACACAUGCAAGUCGAACGAAGCUUGAUUCUUGAAUCCUUCGGGAAGAAAGAUGAUAUGACUUAGUGGCGGACGGGUGAGUAACGCGUGAGUAACCUGCCUUUCAGAGUGGAAUAACGAUUGGAAACGACCGCUAAUACCGCAUAACAUUGUUUUAUUGCAUGGUAGAACAAUCAAAGAUUUAUCGCUGAAAGAUGGACUCGCGUCCGAUUAGGUAGUUGGUGAGGUAACGGCUCACCAAGCCGACGAUCGGUAGCCGGACUGAGAGGUUGAACGGCCACAUUGGGACUGAGACACGGCCCAGACUCCUACGGGAGGCAGCAGUGGGGAAUAUUGCACAAUGGGCGCAAGCCUGAUGCAGCAACGCCGCGUGAGGGAAGAUGGUCUUCGGAUUGUAAACCUUUGUCUUUGGUGAAGAAGAAAGUGACGGUAGCCAAGGAGGAAGCCACGGCUAACUACGUGCCAGCAGCCGCGGUAAUACGUAGGUGGCAAGCGUUGUCCGGAAUUACUGGGUGUAAAGGGAGCGCAGGCGGGACAGCAAGUUGGAUGUGAAAUACCGAGGCUUAACCACGGAGCUGCAUCCAAAACUGUUGUUCUUGAGUGAAGUAGAGGUAGGCGGAAUUCCGAGUGUAGCGGUGAAAUGCGUAGAUAUUCGGAGGAACACCAGUGGCGAAGGCGGCCUACUGGGCUUUAACUGACGCUGAGGCUCGAAAGUGUGGGGAGCAAACAGGAUUAGAUACCCUGGUAGUCCACACUGUAAACGAU